rnacentral:snRNA from 1 species
UUGCUUUGGCAACAGAUGUGCUCAAAUUGGAACCACACAGAAAAGAUUAUCAUGGUACCUGCAUAAGGAUAACACACAAGUUUGUGAAGUUUUACAUUUUUAA